GUUGGGUAGGGGAGCGUUCUGUAAGCCUGUGAAGGUGGCCUGUGAGGGUUGCUGGAGGUAUCAGAAGUGCGAAUGCUGACAUAAGUAACGAUAAAGCGGGUGAAAAGCCCGCUCGCCGGAAGACCAAGGGUUCCUGUCCAACGUUAAUCGGGGCAGGGUGAGUCGACCCCUAAGGCGAGGCCGAAAGGCGUAGUCGAUGGGAAACGGGUUAAUAUUCCCGUACUUGGUGUUACUGCGAAGGGGGGACGGAGAAGGCUAUGUUGGCCGGGCGACGGUUGUCCCGGUUUAAGCGUGUAGGUGUGUGUUCCAGGUAAAUCCGGUUCACUUUAACACUGAGGCGUGAUGACGAGGCACUACGGUGCUGAAGCAACAAAUGCCCUGCUUCCAGGAAAAGCCUCUAAGCAUCAGGUAACAUCAAAUCGUACCCCAAACCGACACAGGUGGUCAGGUAGAGAAUACCAAGGCGCUUGAGAGAACUCGGGUGAAGGAACUAGGCAAAAUGGUGCCGUAACUUCGGGAGAAGGCACGCUGACACGUAGGUGAAGUGAUUUACUCAUGGAGCUGAAGUCAGUCGAAGAUACCAGCUGGCUGCAACUGUUUAUUAAAAACACAGCACUGUGCAAACACGAAAGUGGACGUAUACGGUGUGACGCCUGCCCGGUGCCGGAAGGUUAAUUGAUGGGGUCAGCGCAAGCGAAGCUCCUGAUCGAAGCCCCGGUAAACGGCGGCCGUAACUAUAACGGUCCUAAGGUAGCGAAAUUCCUUGUCGGGUAAGUUCCGACCUGCACGAAUGGCGUAAUGAUGGCCAGGCUGUCUCCACCCGAGACUCAGUGAAAUUGAACUCGCUGUGAAGAUGCAGUGUACCCGCGGCAAGACGGAAAGACCCCGUGAACCUUUACUAUAGCUUGACACUGAACAUUGAGCCUUGAUGUGUAGGAUAGGUGGGAGGCUUUGAAGUGUGGACGCCAGUCUGCAUGGAGCCGACCUUGAAAUACCACCCUUUAAUGUUUGAUGUUCUAACGUGGACCCGUAAUCCGGGUUGCGGACAGUGUCUGGUGGGUAGUUUGACUGGGGCGGUCUCCUCCUAAAGAGUAACGGAGGAGCACGAAGGUUGGCUAAUCCUGGUCGGACAUCAGGAGGUUAGUGCAAUGGCAUAAGCCAGCUUGACUGCGAGCGUGACGGCGCGAGCAGGUGCGAAAGCAGGUCAUAGUGAUCCGGUGGUUCUGAAUGGAAGGGCCAUCGCUCAACGGAUAAAAGGUACUCCGGGGAUAACAGGCUGAUACCGCCCAAGAGUUCAUAUCGACGGCGGUGUUUGGCACCUCGAUGUCGGCUCAUCACAUCCUGGGGCUGAAGUAGGUCCCAAGGGUAUGGCUGUUCGCCAUUUAAAGUGGUACGCGAGCUGGGUUUAGAACGUCGUGAGACAGUUCGGUCCCUAUCUGCCGUGGGCGCUGGAGAACUGAGGGGGGCUGCUCCUAGUACGAGAGGACCGGAGUGGACGCAUCACUGGUGUUCGGGUUGUCAUGCCAAUGGCACUGCCCGGUAGCUAAAUGCGGAAGAGAUAAGUGCUGAAAGCAUCUAAGCACGAAACUUGCCCCGAGAUGAGUUCUCCCUGAGACUUAGAGUCUCCUGAAGGAACGUUGAAGACGACGACGUUGAUAGGCCGGGUGUGUAAGCGCAGCGAUGCGUUGAGCUAACCGGUACUAAUGAACCGUGAGGCUUAACCUUACAACGCCGAAG
rnacentral:rRNA from 3 species